AGAUUGAACGCUGGCGGCAGGCCUAACACAUGCAAGUCGAGCGGCAGCACGGGUACUUGUACCUGGUGGCGAGCGGCGGACGGGUGAGUAAUGCCUAGGAAUCUGCCUGGUAGUGGGGGAUAACGCUCGGAAACGGACGCUAAUACCGCAUACGUCCUACGGGAGAAAGCAGGGGACCUUCGGGCCUUGCGCUAUCAGAUGAGCCUAGGUCGGAUUAGCUAGUUGGUGAGGUAAUGGCUCACCAAGGCGACGAUCCGUAACUGGUCUGAGAGGAUGAUCAGUCACACUGGAACUGAGACACGGUCCAGACUCCUACGGGAGGCAGCAGUGGGGAAUAUUGGACAAUGGGCGAAAGCCUGAUCCAGCCAUGCCGCGUGUGUGAAGAAGGUCUUCGGAUUGUAAAGCACUUUAAGUUGGAGAAGGCAGUUACCUAAUACGUAUCGGUUUGACGUUACGACAGAAUAAGCACCGCUAACUCUGUG
rnacentral:rRNA from 1 species